rnacentral:lncRNA from 1 species
CCGGGAGGUGGAGGUUGCAGUGAGCCAAGAUGGCAUCAUUGCAAUCCAGCCUGGGCAACAAGAGCGAAACUCUGUCUCAAAAACAAAAAGAAAGAAAAGAAAAGGGUAACUUUAAUAGAUAAUGUGUUUCACAAUUUUAUUUUAUUUUUUUAUUUUAUUUAAUUUUAUAAAUAAAAUAAGGGGAGGGGAGGCUCAAGGCAGAAAAGAUCAGGUUAAAGCUUUAUGCUAGAUCUUCGG